GAUGAACGCUGGCGGCGUGCCUAAUACAUGCAAGUCGAGCGAACAGACGAGGAGCUUGCUCCUCUGACGUUAGCGGCGGACGGGUGAGUAACACGUGGAUAACCUACCUAUAAGACUGGGAUAACUUCGGGAAACCGGAGCUAAUACCGGAUAAUAUAUUGAACCGCAUGGUUCAAUAGUGAAAGACGGUUUUGCUGUCACUUAUAGAUGGAUCCGCGCCGCAUUAGCUAGUUGGUAAGGUAACGGCUUACCAAGGCAACGAUGCGUAGCCGACCUGAGAGGGUGAUCGGCCACUCUGGAACUGAGAAACGGUCCAGACGCCUACGGGAGGCAGCAGUAGGGAAUCUUCCACAAUGGGCGAAAGCCUGAUGGAGCAACGCCGCGUGAGUGAUGAAGGUCUUCGGAUCGUAAAACUCUGUUAUUAGUGAAGAACAAAUGUGUAAGUAACUAUGCACGUCUUGACGGUACCUAAUCAGAAAGCCACGGCUAACUACGUG
rnacentral:rRNA from 1 species